AAGUCGUAACAAGGUUUCCGUAGGUGAACCUGCGGAAGGAUCAUUCACAAUAAGUGUUUAUGGCACUUUCAAAUCCAUACCCACCUUGUGUGCAAUGUAUAAGAGUCCUUUUCAACUCGGAUUGGACUUGAUUUUUCUCUCACACGUCUUCAAUUGCAAGUCUAAGCUUUCAGAGUAAUCAAAAAAACUCGAAUACAACUUUCAACAACGGAUCUCUUGGCUCUC
rnacentral:misc_RNA from 1 species